rnacentral:rRNA from 1 species
UACGUAGGGUGCGAGCGUUGUCCGGAAUUAUUGGGCGUAAAGGGCUCGUAGGCGGUUUGUCGCGUCGGGAGUGGAAACCUUGGGCUUAACUCAGGGCUUGCUUUCGAUACGGGCAGACUAGAGGUAUGCAGGGGAGAACGGAAUUCCUGGUGUAGCGGUGAAAUGCGCAGAUAUCAGGAGGAACACCGGUGGCGAAGGCGGUUCUCUGGGCAUGAUCUGACGCUGAGGAGCGAAAGUGUGGGAGCGAACAGG